AGAGUUUGAUCCUGGCUCAGGAUGAACGCUGGCGGCGUGCCUAAUACAUGCAAGUCGAGCGAACAGACGAGGAGCUUGCUCCUCUGACGUUAGCGGCGGACGGGUGAGUAACACGUGGAUAACCUACCUAUAAGGCUGGGAUAACUUCGGGAAACCGGGGCUAAUACCGGAUAAUAUAUUGAACCGCAUGGUUCAAUAGUGAAAGACGGUUUUGCUGUCACUUAUAGAUGGAUCCGCGCCGCAUUAGCUAGUUGGUAAGGUAACGGCUUACCAAGGCAACGAUGCGUAGCCGACCUGAGAGGGUGAUCGGCCACACUGGAACUGAAACACGGUCCAGACUCCUACGGGAGGCAGCAGUAGGGAAUCUUCCGCAAUGGGCGAAAGCCUGACGGAGCAACGCCGCGUGAGUGAUGAAGGUCUUCGGAUCGUAAAACUCUGUUAUUAGGGAAGAACAAAUGUGUAAGUAACUAUGCACGUCUUGACGGUACCUAAUCAGAAAAGCCACGGCUAACUACGUGCCAGCAGCCGCGGUAAUACGUAGGUGGCAGGCGUUAUCCGGAAUUAUUGGGCGUAAAGCGCGCGUAGGCGGUUUUUUAAGUCUGAUGUGAAAGCCCACGGCUCAACCGUGGAGGGUCAUUGAAACUGGAAAACUUGAGUGCAGAAGAGGAAAGUGGAAUUCCAUGUGUAGCGGUGAAAUGCGCAGAGAUAUGGAGGAACACCAGUGGGCGAAUGCGACUUUCUGGUCUGUAACUGACGCUGAUGUGCGAAAGCGUGGGGAACAAACAGGAUUAGAUACUCUGUAGUCCACGCCGUAAACAAUGAAUGCUAAGUGGUUAGGGGUUUCCGCCCCUUAGUGCUGCAGCUAACGCAUAAGCACUCCGCCUGGGGAGUACGACCGCAAGGUUGAACUUCGAAGGAUUUGA
rnacentral:rRNA from 1 species